rnacentral:rRNA from 1 species
GCAGAUACCAGCUGGCUGCAACUGUUUAUUAAAAACACAGCACUGUGCAAACACGAAAGUGGACGUAUACGGUGUGACGCCUGCCCGGUGCUGGAAGGUUAAUUGAUGGGGUUAUCCGUAAGGAGAAGCUCUUGAUCGAAGCCCCAGUAAACGGCGGCCGUAACUAUAACGGUCCUAAGGUAGCGAAAUUCCUUGUCGGGUAAGUUCCGACCUGCACGAAUGGCGUAAUGAUGGCCAGGCUGUCUCCACCCGAGACUCAGUGAAAUUGAACUCGCUGUGAAGAUGCAGUGUACCCGCGGCAAGACGGAAAGACCCCGUGAACCUUUACUAUAGCUUGACACUGAACAUUGAGCCUUGAUG